UAUUAUGGAGAGUUUGAUCCUGGCUCAGAGUGAACGCUGGCGGCGUGCCUAAUACAUGCAAGUCGAACGAUGAAGCUUC
rnacentral:rRNA from 4 species